GCAUGAAAGAUUUUACAAUAUUGGAUAAAUGUAUAGGUCUUGAUUAGUGUGAAUGAUGAAUUCCCAUAAGUAGUCACAUCUCUUCAAAUUCACAUUCUUCCAAGUUAUCAUUAAUUAUGCAAAAUAUGAUCUGUGGUCAACACAUGUGGAUGCUAAGGGAAUCUGCUUAUGAGAAUGCAGAAUGAAGGACCCUGACCUUCAUCUCAUAACAUGGACAGAUAUUUUGUAACUAUUUCCUAUUUUCUUGCUGUGUUGAUGAAAAGAAUGCACUGCUGAGCCAGAACCAAGUGUUCAUGUAAAAGCUUCAAGAGCCCCCAUCUCUUCCUCUCUCCAUGACUGCUUUUGAGUAAAGAGAAGGAAAAAAAAAUCUAUCCAUCAGUGGAGGGGAGAAGGUCAGGAAUAGAAUAUGAACUCCUUGAGAACCAGAACUGUUUUCCUUUUCUAUUUGGAAAGAGAUUUGAUACAACCUAGAUAAUUGAAAUUCACCAGAGCUAUGAGAGGAGCUGAAUGCUGGACAGACCACUGAU
rnacentral:lncRNA from 1 species